CAGUGAGCCGAAAUCGCGCCACUGCACUCCAGCCUGGGUGACAGAGCAAGAUUCCGUGGGCUUGGUGGAGGGGCAGGAUUCCGGGCAGGAGCCUUGCCUCUCAGGUGGCGGGCUCUGCGACCCUGUGAGAUGGACGGGACGGAAGGCAGUGUCGGGCAGCCCGGCCCCACUGAGCGGUCCCACCGAAGCAGCGUGUCCUCCGUGGGAGCCCGAGCGGCUGACGUGCUGGUAUACCUGGCAGAUGACACGGUGGUGCCCCUGGCUGUGGAGAACCUGCCCUCGCUCCGUGCCCAUGAGCUGCACUGCGCCGUCCGCGAGGUCCUGAAGCUUCCGGACAUCGCCCUGGAUGUCUUCGCGCUCUGGCUGGUCUCCCCUCUGCUGGAGGUGCAGCUGAAACCCAAGAACCAGCCCUACAAGCUGGGACGCCAGUGGCCGGAGCUGCUGCUGCGCUUCACCAGUGCCCCGGACGACGACGUGGCCAUGGAUGAGCCUUUCCUGCAGUUCCGAAGGAACGUGUUCUUCCCAAAGGGGCGGGAGCUCCAGAUCCCCGACGAGGAGGUCCUGCGGCUGCUCUAUGAGGAGGCCAAGGGCAACGUGCUGGCUGCACGGUACCUGUGCGACGUUGAGGACUGCGAGGCUCUGGGCGCCCUGGUGUGCCGCGUGCAGCUCGUGACCUACCAGCCCGACUGGCCGGCAGCCUGCGACCUGAGGGAGAAGCUGGACUCCUUCCUCCCUGCCCACCUCUGUAAGCGGGGCCAGGGUCUCUUUGCUGCCCUCCGGGGCCGUGGGGCCAGGGCCGGGCCGGGUGAGCAGAGCCUGCUGAACGCCUACCGCAAGGUGCAGGAGGUCAGCAGCGACGGCGGGUGUGAGGCCGCCCUGGGCACCCACUACCGCGCCUACCUCCUCAAGUGCCACAAGCUGCCCUUCUAUGGGUGUGCCUUCUUCCACGGUGAGGUUGACAAGCCAGCCCAAGGCUUUUUGCACCGGGGUGGGCGCAAAUCAGUUUCUGUGGCCAUCAGCCUGGAAGGUGUGCACGUCGUGGACAGCAGAGAGAAGCACGUCCUGCUGGGCCUGUGCUUCCAGGAGCUGUCGUGGGACCACACCUCCCCUGAGGAGGAGGAGCCCAUCCUGUGGCUGGAGUUCGACAGGGACAGCGGGGUCACACCUGUCAACAAGCUCCUCAAGAUCUACUCCAAGCAGGCCGAACUGAUGAGCAGCCUCAUUGAGUACUGCAUCUAACUGAGCCAGGCGGCGGAGCCCGCAGGCCCCCAGGACAGUGCAACUGGCUCGCCCUCAGACCUCAGCUCCUCGCCAGCUCCUGUUCAGCGCCCCAAGCUGCGGAGGCAGGGCAGUGUGGUGUCCAGCCGGAUCCAGCAUCUCUCCACCAUCGCCUAUGUGGAGGACGGCAAGGGGAUCAGGCGAGUGAAGACGAAGAGCACCACGUCCUUCUUCAGCCAGCAGCUGUCCUUGGGCCAGGGGAGCUACACCGUGGUGCAGCCCAGCGACAGCCUGGAGCAGGGCUGAGGACGCUGCACCCCGCAGGAGGAGGGCAACUGGGGGCCCUGGCCCGGCAUUGUCCUCCUGAGGAGCAGGGGCUGGCUAACAGUCUCAUGGGUCACCACAUGGGGAGGGCUGCCUCAGCAGAUUUCUCAGACCACGGAGAAGUGACUUUUGCGCCCGGGGCCAUGCCCGGGCUGUGCAAAGCUGGCCAGGGCCUCCCACAGGGCCCCUCUGCAGCCUGCCCUCCCUUCCCCCCCUUUCCCCGGAUGCUGGGCCCUGCUGCUAUCUCAGGACCAUCCG